AUGGUCCCUGCUACAAGGAAAUGCAACUCCAUUGACUUCAGCUGAGUUGUACCUUGCUUACAGCAGAUCUGAAUAUGAUUCAUUUUGCCCUGACCAAGUACUGAGAUUCAACUGAUGCCAGCAGCUUUUGAUCGUGUGUGGGGUGACCUGGGGCUGCCGCGGUUCGUGCCGCAGGGGAGUUAUUGCCAAGAACACAAAAUAUGUCCUUAAACAAGCAAGCAAACAAACAAGAAAGCAAGAAAAAACUACCACAAACCUGCAGGGACCGAGAGAAGCUGGGAGUGUGGCUUUGCCCAGGGUACAGCCAUUCUGGAAUUCAAUAUCUGAAGAGCUUUGUUGUCUUUUUUCAUAUCAAGAGGCAUUCCUGACAUUCAUACUUUUUGUCUUCUGCAAAAGCAAUGAGAACUGCCUCAUCUUAAAUCUAUGGCUCCCGCUGCCCCCGGUUAACUGGUCCAUUUGAAAUGGAUAACAUCCUAUGCAGUGUCAGAGGAGACACUGCUCUCUAGUCUUUCCAGAAGAACUAUAAUUGGCACCUUACCUUUCUUUAACACUUAUUUUUUUCUGCCAGAGAAGUGCAGUAGGAACAAGAAGCUGGGAAUUCAGAAGAGAGGACAAAAAGUGAAGUAGAGGACUGGAAGCACAGACAGAAAAUUUAAAAGUGGAAGAAGUUCUCCUGGAGGUACAG